UACGUAGGGGGCAAGCGUUGUCCGGAUUUAUUGGGCGUAACGAGCGUGUAGGCGGCCUAGUAGGUCAGCUGUGAAAACUCGAGGCUCAACCUCGAGCUGUCGGUUGAAACCACUAGGCUAGAGUCCGGAAGAGGAGAAUGGAAUUCCCGGUGUAGCGGUGAAAUGCGCAGAUAUCGGGAAGAACACCCGUGGCGAAGGCGGUUCUCUGGGACGGUACUGACGCUGAGACGCGAAAGCGUGGGGAGCGAACAGG
rnacentral:rRNA from 1 species